rnacentral:rRNA from 1 species
CGUAACCGGGCUGAAGUCGUACCGUAAGGAGCGGUGGACUGGUUACGAGUGAGAAUGUUGGCAUCAGUAGCGAGAUGUGGGUGAGAAUCCCACAGGCCGAAAACCUAAGGUUUCCUCAGGAAGGUUCGUCCGCUGAGGGUUAGUCGGGACCUAAGCCGAGGCCGAAAGGCGUAGGUGAUGGACAACUGGUUGAUAUUCCAGUACCACUACCAU